AAGUAAUUUAGGAUUUAGUAUUAAAGAUAUGUGCUAUGGGUCAAUUGCUACAUUCACCCGUUCGACGUGUUCCAUCUUUAGCUAAUAUUUCAAAAAAAUAACCCAAUAAACCUGUUGAUAGGUAAAUGGAUCAAAAUUGCCACCUCUAUCUUGUGUUACAUUCCCAUUCAUCACAUUAAGUUCAAAUUUUCUUGACCCAGGUGAUGCGUGUGAAAGCUAUUGAUGCGUGUGAAAGCUAUUGGAAUUGCUUUGAAGCUUACUUUACCGUAAUUGUUUUGCUAUGUAUCAUCACUCAAUUAUUAAAAUAAGGAUUGGGAUGGGUAAAAUCCUCCUCAGAUUAUAACAAAACUAUGUGGCUUUGUGACAAUCCUUUUUGGAACAUUCAUACACAAAACCAAAGACAUGGUUGAUGAGAUUGUUCUACAUAGAAGAAAAAACGAGGACCGGGAAUUAGAAGAAAUGAGCAGUUGGAACAACGUUUCAAGAAAUCGAAAAGUGAUAAUUUCGUUAUCACGAUGUCCAGGCAGUGUGAUCGAGUAAUUUUGCCUUUUAAUAUUGUUCUUUUUUUUUCUGAUCAACGGCCUACUUCUUGGUAAUAAUAAGGUUUAUAC